UGCUGUAAGUUAGAAAAGGAGAUAGUGGGGCAUGUUCUGCUCUCAUACUCGAGAGCUAGGCAGAUAUGGAGGCUGAUUGGGCCCCUCAGUGGUUGUCUAGUCAAAAACACCUAUUUAGGUUUUUAAUGAGUUCACGAGGCCUAGUGCUGGCUCUAAGGCAGUUAGGUUCUUAGGUCUCUAGGCUGCAUAUAUUACAUAUCAUAUUUUGUUAUCCAAGAACAGCCUGAUGCUUGAGUUGAAGAGGUCUUUUGUGAGGUUUGUCUUAAAGAAAAUGUUGGCUCGGGAUAUUGAGAUUAUUCACC
rnacentral:lncRNA from 1 species